GACGAACGCUGGCGGCGUGCUUAACACAUGCAAGUCGAACGGAAAGGCCCUGCUGUUGUGGGGUGCUCGAGUGGCGAACGGGUGAGUAACACGGGAGUAACCUGCCCUUGACUUUGGGAUAACUUCAGGAAACUGGGGCUAAUACCGGAUAGGAGCUCCUGCUGCAUGGUGGGGGUUGGAAAGUUUCGGCGGUUGGGGAUGGGCUCGCGGCUUAUCAGCUUGUUGGUGGGGUAGUGGCUUACCAAGGCUUUGACGGGUAGCCGGCCUGAGAGGGUGACCGGCCACAUUGGGACUGAGAUACGGCCCAGACUCCUACGGGAGGCAGCAGUGGGGAAUAUUGCACAAUGGGCGGAAGCCUGAUGCAGCAACGCCGCGUGCGGGAUGACGGCCUUCGGGUUGUAAACCGCUUUCGCCUGUGACGAAGCGUGAGUGACGGUAAUGGGUAAAGAAGCACCGGCUAACUACGUG
rnacentral:rRNA from 1 species